rnacentral:rRNA from 1 species
GACGGGUAACGGGGAAUUAGGGUUCGAUUCCGGAGAGGGAGCCUGAGAAACGGCUACCACAUCUAAGGAAGGCAGCAGGCGCGCAAAUUACCCAAUGAAAACAGUUUCGAGGUAGUGACGAGAAAUAACAAUACAGGGCAUUAUAUGCUUUGUAAUUGGAAUGAUGGGAAUGUAAAACCCUCUCAGAGUAACAAUUGGAGGGCAAGUCUGGUGCCAGCAGCCGCGGUAAUUCCAGCUCCAAUAGCGUAUAUUAGAGUUGUUGCAGUUAAAAAGCUCGUAGUUGGAUUUCUGUCGUGGUCAUCCGGUACCGCCCGUAUGGGUGUGCGCCAGGACUGACCUCGGCAUUCUUCCGGUAGCCUGCCGCUCUUUAUUGCGUGGCAGGUGUUCCGGAACUUUUACUUUGAGAAAAAUAGAGUGUUUCAAGCAGGCUUGUCGCCCUGAAUACUGCAGCAUGGAAUAAUAAGAUAGGACCUUGGUUCUAUUUUGUUGGCUUCUAGGACUGAGGUAAUGAUUAAUAGGGACAGUUGGGGGCAUUCGUAUUUAACUGUCAGAGGUGAAAUUCUUA